UACGUAGGGAGCAAGCGUUGUCCGGAAUCAUUGGGCGUAAAGCGCGCGUAGGUGGCCACAUAAGUCCGUUGUGAAAGUCAAAGGCUCAACCUUUGAAAGCCGAUGGAUACUGUGUGGCUAGAGUACGGAAGAGGCGAGUGGAAUUCCUGGUGUAGCGGUGGAAUGCGCAGAUAUCAGGAGGAACACCAAUAGCGAAGGCAGCUCGCUGGGACGUUACUGACACUGAGGCGCGAAAGCUAGGGGAGCGAACGGG
rnacentral:rRNA from 1 species